CACAUACUCCCUCCAUUCGAAAUUACUUGUCGCAGAAAUGGAUGUAUCUAGACAUAUUUUAGUUCUAGAUACAUCCAUUUCCGAGACAAGUAAUUCCGAACAGAGGGAGUAUGAU
rnacentral:pre_miRNA from 1 species